AUACAGAGGGUGCAAGCGUUAAUCGGAAUUACUGGGCGUAAAGCGCGCGUAGGCGGUUUAAUCAGUCGGAUGUGAAAGCCCCGGGCUCAACCUGGGAACUGCAUUCGAUACUGUUAAGCUAGAGUAUGGUAGAGGGAAGUGGAAUUCCAGGUGUAGCGGUGAAAUGCGUAGAUAUCUGGAGGAACAUCAGUGGCGAAGGCGACUUCCUGGACCAAUACUGACGCUGAGGUGCGAAAGCGUGGGGAGCAAACAGGAUUAGAAACCCUUGUAGUCC
rnacentral:rRNA from 1 species